rnacentral:miRNA from 1 species
AAGAGCGCCAUGGCACGCAGC